ACUCCUACGGGAGGCUGCAGUGGGGAAUCUUGCGCAAUGGGCGAAAGCCUGACGCAGCAACGCCGCGUGGGGGAUGAAGGCUUUCGGGUUGUAAACCCCUUUCAGCAGGGACGAUAAUGACGGUACCUGCAGAAGAAGGACCGGCCAACUACGUGCCAGCAGCCGCGGUAAUACGUAGGGUCCAAGCGUUGUCCGGAUUUAUUGGGCGUAAAGAGCUCGUAGGCGGCUUCGUAAGUCGGGUGUGAAAACCCCAGGCUCAACCUGGGGACGCCACUCGAUACUGCGGUGGCUUGAGUCUGGUAGGGGAUCUCGGAAUUCCUGGUGUAGCGGUGAAAUGCGCAGAUAUCAGGAGGAACACCAGUGGCGAAGGCGGAGAUCUGGGCCAGUACUGACGCUGAGGAGCGAAAGCGUGGGGAGCGAACAGGAUUAGAUACCCUGGUAGUCCACGCCGUAAACGUUGGGCACUAGGUGUGGGGACCUAUCGACGGUUUCCGUGCCGCAGCUAACGCAUUAAGUGCCCCGCCUGGGGAGUAC
rnacentral:rRNA from 1 species